UCUAAACGACUCUCGGCAACGGAUAUCUCGGCUCUCGCAUCGAUGAAGAACGUAGCGAAAUGCGAUACUUGGUGUGAAUUGCAGAAUCCCGUGAACCAUCGAGUCUUUGAACGCAAGUUGCGCCCGAAGCUUCUGGCCGAGGGCACGCCUGCCUGGGCGUCAC
rnacentral:rRNA from 1 species